GCAUGUAUUUGCCGUUUGUGCAGGAAAAUUCCUCUCAGAUGAGGCAUACAGCAUGUACCUGAAACCUCCUGAUUCAGCCCUAUUCUGGACAAGCUGUUUUGGUGCACUGUGGCUUUAAUGCAAUGAGCUGCUGCUUUCCACGCCCCCUCCCUCCCGAAGGCCGUGCCCCCACCAACUCGCAACCAUGACAACGCAGUCAGAGUCUGUAAAGAUGGCGGCUAGAAGGAGCGCGAUAGUCCAAACUGAUAUAUUUGACCCUGAAUCUGAGGUUGAAGAGGGAGAAGCGCAGCAAGAAGAACAAGAGGAAGUAGUGCGAAUGCAGCAAGAAGUUUCUGAAUGGUUCUAAGACGGAUGCAGCAGGUAGAUGACCAUAUGACCUGCAUGUUGGACCACCCUGGUUUAGAGCCUGUUUGCCUGAAUCCCUACUCUUUACAGAGGGAAUUCAACCAUUACAGAGCAAAUUAUGGCCGUUUACAGAUCAGGGGAAUAGAGAAGCGUUUCAGGUAUGUGGAUACCGAAGCUUUGUUGGAUGGUGUUGGGGCUUCCUUGGACGGAGGGUACGGGUGGUUGUUCCAGCAUGUGUGGUGCUACGUAUACGCCGUGAAUUUCCGGAUCCAGA